UAUGCACUAAGGGACAAGGAAGGGAACCUCACUAGCAAUAUGGAUAGCAUAGUUAAUGUAGCUCAGGAGUUUUACAGAGAUCUUUACAGUAGCCGGGACAACCAGGACGAUAAUACGAUAAGAACUUGCAGUA
rnacentral:lncRNA from 1 species